UACAGGGGGUGCAAACGUUGCUCGGAAUCAUUGGGCGUAAAGCGCACGUAGGCGGUCUGUUAUGUCGGAUGUGAAAGCCCUUGGCUUAACUGAGGAAGUGCAUCCGAAACUGGCAGGCUAGAGUACUAAAGAGGGUCGCGGAAUUCCCGGUGUAGAGGUGAAAUUCGUAGAUAUCGGGAGGAACACCGGUGGCGAAGGCGGGUCUCUGGGCGUCUGACGCUGAGAGCGAAAGUCGUGGGGAGCGAACAGGAUUAGAACUACCGGUGUCAGUCC
rnacentral:rRNA from 1 species